AAAACAGCUGAAAAUUAAACCAAUUCUCGAAAAAAGCUGGGUGUCACAUCCCCUGGCUUGUGGCCAGGUUCUGUGUAAAGGACAAGCCACCUGUAGGAUUGCAACUCUGUGAUUGGCUGUGGAUCUGAGAAGUUUCCCCGCUCUUCUGAAUACCUGUGUGGUUGCAACACCGCGAUUGGCUGUGGACCAGGGAGGCUGAUCUGCUCUUCUGACUCCCUAAUUGGACGACUGCCCUCCAGACAAGCCCACCUGUGGAACACCCGCCCUUUAUAAGGGAAGGAAGCGCCAACAUUCGGGGCAGCUGGUCAUUAGACCCUCAGCUUGCCUCUGGGACUGUUAGAGAAGCGUUGGUUGGUUUGUUUGAAUUGGACUUGAACUUGAUUGUUUGUAAGAGCAUUUAGUUUUCCCUUUAGUAUUCAAUUGUGUUCAGUUUAGUUGAAAUUGAGAUUGUUCGCUCUCAUCGUUUGUGAGUAGCUUUUGGUUUUUGGUACGUUUUAUAGCUG